rnacentral:rRNA from 1 species
AUUCCCUAGUACGGCGAGUGAGCGGGAAGAGCUCAAAUUUGAAAUCUGGUAGCCUUCGGUUGCCCGAGUUGUAAUCUAGAGAAGUGUUUUCCGUGCCGGCCCAUGUACAAGUCCCUUGGAACAGGGCGUCAUAGAGGGUGAGAAUCCCGUCCUUGACAUGGACCCCCGGUGCUUUGUGAUACACUUUCAACGAGUCGAGUUGUUUGGGAAUGCAGCUCAAAAUGGGUGGUGAAUUCCAUCUAAAGCUAAAUAUUGGCGAGAGACCGAUAGCGAACAAGUACCGUGAGGGAAAGAUGAAAAGCACUUUGGAAAGAGAGUUAAACAGUACGUGAAAUUGUUGAAAGGGAAACGAUUGAAGUCAGUCAUGCUCUUGGGACUUACCUCCCUUGAGUGGGGUCAACAUCAGUUUUGAUCGAUGGAUAAAGGCACGGGGAAGGUAGCACUCUCGGGUGAACUUAUAGCCUCGCGUCAUAUACAUUGAUUGGGACUGAGGAACGCAGCAUGCCUUUUGGCCGGGAUUCGUCCACGUACAUGCUUAGGAUGUUGACAUAAUGGCUUUAAACGACCCGUCUUGA